AGUGAACGCUGGCGGUAGGCCUAACACAUGCAAGUCGAACGGCAGCACAGUAAGAGCUUGCUCUUACGGGUGGCGAGUGGCGGACGGGUGAGGAAUACAUCGGAAUCUACUUUUUCGUGGGGGAUAACGUAGGGAAACUUACGCUAAUACCGCAUACGACCUACGGGUGAAAGCAGGGGAUCUUCGGACCUUGCGCGAUUGAAUGAGCCGAGGUCGGAUUAGCUAGUUGGCAGGGUAAAGGCCCACCAAGGCGACGAUCCGUAGCUGGUCUGAGAGGAUGAUCAGCCACACUGGAACUGAGACACGGUCCAGACUCCUACGGGAGGCAGCAGUGGGGAAUAUUGGACAAUGGGCGCAAGCCUGAUGCAGCAAUGCCGCGUGGGUGAAGAAGGCCUUCGGGUUGUAAAGCCCUGUUGUUGGGGAAGAAAAGCAGCGGGAUAAUACGCGGCUGUUUUGACGGUACCCAAAGAGUAAGCACCGGCUAACUUCGUG
rnacentral:rRNA from 1 species